rnacentral:rRNA from 1 species
AGCGGCCUUGGAUAUCGGUAUGGACGAAAGUCUGACCGCGCGACACCGCGUGUAGGAAUAAGCUCUAACGAGCGUAAACUACUGUGAUAGAGGAAGAAGUCCCGACUUAGUCGGGAUUGACGGUACUCUAUAAGAAAGGGGCCGCUAACUGCGUGCCAGAAGCGUCGGUAAUACGUGGGCCCCAAACAUUAUCCGG